rnacentral:rRNA from 1 species
AGUGGCGAACGGGUGAGUAACACGUGGGUAACCUACCAUAUAGACAGGGACAACAGUUGGAAACGACUGCUAAUACCUGAUAACAUAAGCUAUCGCAUGAUAGGUUAUGGAAAGGGGCGUAUGCCUCACUAUGUGAUGGACCCGCGGCGCAUUAGCUAGUUGGUGAGAUAAAAGCUCACCAAGGCGACGAUGCGUAGCCGACCUGAGAGGGUGAACGGCCACAUUGGGACUGANACACGGCCCAGACUCCUACGGGAGGCAGCAGUAGGGAAUUUUCCACAAUGGGGGCAACCCUGAUGGAGCAAUGCCGCGUGAGAGAAGAAGGCCUUCGGGUUGUAAAUCUCUGUUGUGAGGGAAGAAAAUUGAUAANAGGAAAUGCUUAUUAAGUGACGGUACCUUACCAGAAAGCCACNGCUAACUACGUGCCAGCAGCCGCGGUAAUACGUAGGUGGCGAGCGUUAUCCGG